GUGCAGCAGGCGAGAAAACUUCACACUGUGCGAAAGCACGAUGAGGGAAUCCCAAGUGCUUGCACGUAAGUGUAAGCUGUUUCUCUGUCUAAAACGCAGAGAGAGUAAGGGCUGGGUAAGACGGGUGCCAGCCGCCGCGGUAAUACCUGCAGCUCAAGUGGUGACCGUUAUUAUUGGGCCUAAAACGUCCGUAGCCGGUUUAAUAAAUGCCUGGGUAAAUUGUGUAGCUUAACUAUACGAAUUCCGGGUAGACUGUUAAACUUGAGACCGGGAGAAGUUAGAGGUACUCCUGGGGUAGAGGUGAAAAUUCUGUAAUCCUAGGGGGACCACCAGUGGCGAAGGCGUCUAACUAGAACGGGUCUGACGGUGAGGGACGAAGCCCUGGGGCGCAAACGGGAUUAGAUA
rnacentral:rRNA from 1 species